AAUGAACGUUGGCGGCGUGGAUUAGGCAUGCAAGUCGAGCGAUAAGUCCCCUUCGGGGGACGAAGAGCGGCGAAAGGGAGAGCAACGUGUGGACUACCUACCCUCGGGUUCGGGAUAGCCGCGGGAAACUGCGGGUAAUACCGAAUAACAUCCCCGGAUCAAAGGUUGUGAUUCCGCCUGGGGACGGUCCGCAUCCUAUUAGCUUGUUGGUGAGGUAACGGCUCACCAAGGCCGCGAUGGGUACGGGGUGUGAGAGCAUGCCCCCGCUCACUGGGACUGAGACACUGCCCAGACACCUACGGGAGGCAG
rnacentral:rRNA from 1 species